rnacentral:misc_RNA from 1 species
AUAUAAUGCACACAUUCAUUCUUACUUUUAUUUACAAAUUAUGGUAUAUUUUGAAAUUUGGUCAUGAAAAUGGAACCAUCCAGCACAGUCAGCGCAGUGAUAUCCUGGCACUAUUCCAUACUUUCAACUAUUCAACAGUUCGUCACGUCCCGUGCUUUGUGUCUUUCUCCUUUUCAUUCCAUCCUUUCUCGAAAAUUCGUUUCUACCGCACUGGCUGUAACUGAAUGGCCCAUCACAUGCCUAUAUUACAUACAUUCCAGCACACGCACACUUCUUGCAUUCACGCUCUCGUGCACUUAAAAGAAAGUUAAACAUUACAGAGGAUUACUAAAAUAAUAAGGAACACACAAGUGUACGUUAUGCCAUGUAAUACGGACACAAGCUAAGAAAUGAAUAUGAAAGAUAAUGAGGACUGUUGGAGAGGAGACAGAAGAACGUGACCAAAUUUAAAACCUGCGAGUACUCGAUACAUACUGUUGGACAUAUAUAAAUACAUUUUUAUUUUCGUCACUCGAAUAAUCUUCAUGGCCAUACAAUAAUUUCUCUAAGCUUAGAGGUAAGUAUUCAUGAAGAUUUCUAAACAUUUCAACUCUUUGAUCAGUAUAUAUACUGCAUGUAAAAAAGAAAUGAUGAGCAUUUUCAUUAGGAUAUCCACAUGCACAAAUAGGAGAGUUGAUUAGGUUAACAUUAAAGAGAUCAUCAUUUAAAGGGCUGCAUUUAUGACGGAGUUUGGUUAGUAAAAUAUUUAACUUACGGUCACCGGCUAAAUAAAAAACAGGCACUUUAAAUGUUUCAUUUUGUUUUUUGAGGCAGUUUGUGAAGCUCUUAAAAGAAUGUGCAGUUUUAAUAUUAGUGUCAAGCUCAUUCCAUAGUCUUAAAGUAGAAGGUAUGAACGAGUUGAGUGAAGAUUGUAAGCGGAAAUUAGGAAUGGAAUAGUUCUCAGAGUUUCUCAAAUUAUAAGGAGUUAAAGUAGCUACUAGUGGCGGGAGAAGGUCAGUUAGGUAAGAGGGAGUCAUAUUGUUGUGAAUUUUGUAGAAAAGUUGAAGUUUGCGGCGGGUGCGACGUUGAGACAAGACUUCCCAACCAGUUUCGAAGUAAAGAGACGCUCUACUAGCAAAAGAUGGCAGGCCGGUGACAAUACGCGCCGCUUCUAACUGGAGUUUUUCAAGUUUAUUUGCAUCGGCAGUUGUACAACCGUCCCAAACUUCGCAACAGUAUUCAAGCAGAGGGAGUAUAAAACAUCCUGCCUACGACCCUGCCGCCAGAUUCCGUCCUCUACUUAACUUCGUCAACAGACAGUUCCUGCGCUUCAUCAUACCGAGGAGGGCACUGUAUGUUGAUGAAUCCUUGGUGAGCACAAAAGGCCGUUGUGUGAUGCGCCAGUACAUUCCCUCCAAGGCCGCGAAGUACGGAAUUAAGUUUUGGAUACUCUGUGAGUCAGCGUCAGGGUACGCUACGGAAAAACAGACCGAUGCCCCUGACUAUACGGAAUGCGGAUCCGCAGCCAGGGGCCGCUGUAUACAUGAGACAGGGCAACUUCCUGUGUCUGGCAGCUCGUGAUGUAGAGGGCAAAAAGCCGGUGCGGCUCUUAUCUACGCUCCUGCCAGCGCAGGACCUUGGAUGUGGGCGUCCUAGAAUUGUCAAUGCGUAUAACCAUAAUAUGGGUGCCAUUGACAUGAAUGAUGGGUUAUUGAGUGCAUAUGGUGUCCAGCGCAAAACCAAGAAAGUCUGGAAAAAAGUGCUUCUACACAUUUUCCACAAAAUUAUGCAAAAUGCAUACAUACUCUACAGAGAGAACACAACUGAUCGCCCCGUAUUGACUCGACUUAAUUUCAUCAUGCAGGUCGUAGAGUCCUUAUCGGGAUGCAAUGUCCCGGGCAUGCCAAGGCGCGCACGUCGAAGAGUCCAGAACCUAGAAGUACUACCGCGUGGAAAAGAAAAAGAUUGUUGCGUGUGUUCAUCCAAUGUGCGGCAUGGCAGAGGUGUGCGCCACAGGAGCAGAACAAUUUGCUCCAUAUGUAAAAGAGGCCUCCAUAGGCACUGCCUCGAAAGGCACAACGCAUGCGCAGAACUUUAGCAAGACAAUCUGGAAAUAAAUUUAUGCUGAGCAAUUUAUGAAAUAUUGUUUUACU